UCCGUAGGCGGAUCUAUAAGUCAGGGGUGAAAGUUUGCCGCUCAACGGUAAAAUUGCCUUUGAUACUGUAGGUCUUGAAUACGUGUGAAGUGGUUAGAAUGUGUAGUGUAGCGGUGAAAUGCAUAGAUAUUACACAGAAUACCGAUUGCGAAGGCAGAUCACUAACACGUCAUUGACGCUGAUGGACGAAAGCGUGGGGGAGCGAACA
rnacentral:rRNA from 1 species